CGAUCCUGCCGGAAUCCGACGCUCUCCCCAAGGACACAAGCCAUGCAUGCCCGCGCACCCGGGAGGCGGCGGACGGCUCAGGACAACGGUUGCACCCCCCGCGGCGGUCCCUGCUAGCCGGACACCGCUGGCAACCCGGCGCCAAGACGUGCGCGCAAGGGCGGGCGCCCGCGGGCGAGCAGCGUGACGCAGCGACGGCCCGCCCGGGCUUCCGGGGCAUCACCCGGUCGGCGCGGUCGCGGCGCGCCGAGGGCCCGACGCCUGGCGGAGAAUCAG
rnacentral:rRNA from 1 species